AGUGGAAUAACUGGGUCAAAUGGUGAUUCUAUUUUAAGAUUUCUGAGGAGUCUUCAUACUGCUUUCAGAGUGGUUGCACCAAUUUGCUGUCCCACCAGGAGU
rnacentral:pre_miRNA from 1 species